rnacentral:rRNA from 1 species
CAAAAACAUCGCCUCUUGCAACAUCUAGGUAUAAGAGGUCUUACCUGCCCAGUGACACUAAGUUAAACGGCCGCGGUAUUUUGACCGUGCUAAGGUAGCGCAAUCACUUGUCUUUUAAAUGAGGACCUGUAUGAAUGGUGUAACGAGGGCUUAACUGUCUCCCCUUUUAGGUCAGUGAAAUUGAUCUGUCCGUGCAGAAGCGGACAUAAGUAUACAAGACGAGAAGACCCUUUGGAGCUUAAGAUAAUAAAGUCAACUAUGUCAAAAACCCCUAUUAAGAGGAGUGAAACAUAAUAACAACUGACCUGCAUCUUCGGUUGGGGCGACCACGGGGGAAAAAAAAGCCCCCCCGUAGACAGGGAUAAACCUAGAACCACGAGGAACACCUCUAAGUCACAGAACAUCUGACUGAAAGAUCCGGCCUCACAGCCGAUCAACGAACCAAGUUACCCAAGGGAUAACAGCGCAAUCCCCUCCAAGAGUCCAUAUCGACAAGGGGGUUUACGACCUCGAUGUUGGAUCAGGACAUCCUAAUGGUGCAGCCGCUAUUAAGGGUUCGUUUGUUCAACGAUUAAAGUCCUACGUGAUCUGAG